rnacentral:rRNA from 1 species
GAUGAACGCUGGCGGCGUGCCUAGUACAUGCAAGUCGAGCGAACAGACGAGGAGCUUGCUCCUCUGACGUUAGCGGCGGACGGGUGAGUAACACGUGGAUAACCUACCUAUAAGACUGGGAUAACUUCGGGAAACCGGAGCUAAUACCGGAUAAUAUAUUGAACCGCAUGGUUCAAUAGUGAAAGACGGUGUUGCUGUCACUUAUAGAUGGAUCCGCGCCGCAUUAGCUAGUUGGUAAGGUAACGGCUUACCAAGGCGACGAUGCGUAGCCGACCUGAGAGGGUGAUCGGCCACACUGGAACUUAGCCACGGUCCAGACUCCUACGGGAGGCAGCAGUAGGGAAUCUUCCGCAAUGGGCGAAAGCCUGACGGAGCAACGCCGCGUGAGUGAUGAAGGUCUUCGGAUCGUAAAACUCUGUUAUUAGGGAAGAACAAAUGUGUAAGUAACUAUGCACGUCUUGACGGUACCUAAUCAGAAAGCCACGGCUAACUACGUG